rnacentral:rRNA from 1 species
GAGUUUGAUCAUGGCUCAGGAUGAACGUUGGCGGCGUGCCUGAGAUAUGCAAGUCGAGCGAUCCCGCCUUUGGCGGGAAGCGGCGAACGGCUGAGUAAUACGUAGGAACCUGCCCCUAAGUCGAGGAUAGUCCGCCGAAAGGCGGAGUAAUACUCGAUAGUCCCCGCUUAAUUUGGUGGGGUAAAGGAUCUAACCGUCCGCUUAGGGAGGGGCCUGCGGCCUAUCAGGUAGUUGGUAGGGUAACGGCCUACCAAGCCGAUGACGGGUAGCUGGCCUUAUGAGGGUGGUCAGCCAGAGGGGGACUGAGACACGGCCCCCACUCCUACGGGAGGCAGCAAUCAGGAAUCGUCGGCAAUGGGCGAAAGCCUGACCGCGCGACGCCGCGUGCGGGAAGAAGCUCUUCGGAGUGUAAACCGCUGUGGUAGGGGAGGAAGCCCCGCCGUUGGCGGGGUUGACAGUACCCUACUAGAAAGGGGCCGCUAACUGCGUGCCAGAAGCGUCGGUAAUACGUGGGCCCCAAACGUUAUCCGGUGUCACUGGGCGUAAAGGGUCGUGUAGGCGUCCCGUCAAGUUUUACCUCAAAGACUAUGGCUCAACCAUAGGAAGGGGUAAAAAACUGACGGGAUAGAAUUCCCUCAAGGGGGACGGGAACUUGCGGAGGAGCAGUGAAAUGCGUUGAUACCGCAGGGAACACCAGUGGCGAAGGCGCGUCCCUUCGAGGGAAUUGACGCUGAGACACGAAAGCUAGGGGAGCGAAGCAGAUUAGAGACCUGCGUAGUCCUAGCCGUAAACGCAUGUCUGCUAGCUGUGCUUUUCCUCGCCGAUUGGCGGGGUUGGGCAUGGCGAAGGUAACCCGUUAAGCAGACCGCCUGGGGACUACGGCCGCAAGGCUAAAACUCAAAGGAAUUGGCGGGGAGGCACACAACCAGUGGAACAUGUGGUUCAAUUCGAGACGAACCGAAGAACCUCACCAGGGCUUGACAUGCUACCGUUUACCCGAAAGGAAACUUUCGGGGAUCCGCAAGGAUGGUAGCACAGGUGCUGCAUGGCUGUCGUCAGCUCGUUCCGUGAGGAGUGCCCUUAAGUGGGACAACGAGCGCAACCCCCGUCCUGUGUUAGAAAUGUCACAGGAGACAGUCCCGCCUAUUGGCGGGAAGGAAGGAGGGGUAGACGUCAAGUCAGCAUGGCCCUUAUGCCCUGGGCUACACACAUGUUACAAUGGGAAGGACAGCGGGCUUUGCCACACCGUAAGGUGGAGCGAAUCCCUCAAACCUUCCCCAAGUUGGGAUUGAGGUCUGCAACUCGACCUCAUGAACGCGGAAUUGGUAGUAAUCGCGGAUCAGUCAUGCCGCAGUGAAUACGUUCUUGCCUCUUGCACACACCGCCCGUCAAGCCAACAAAGUCGGGGAUGGUUGAACUCCGCCUGUGGCGGGGGAAAUCAUUCCCGGCGAUGGGGGUUAAGUCGUAACAAGGUA